CCUAUGGGGGGCAGCAGUGGGGAAUAUUGGACAAUGGGCGAAAGCCUGAUCCAGCCAUGCCGCGUGUGUGAAGAAGGCCUUCGGGUUGUAAAGCACUUUCAGUGGGGAAGAAAGCCUUGGGGCUAAUACCCUCGAGGAAGGACAUCACCCACAGAAGAAGCACCGGCUAACUCCGUGCCAGCAGCCGCGGUAAUACGGAGGGUGCGAGCGUUAAUCGGAAUUACUGGGCGUAAAGCGCGCGUAGGCGGUCUGAUAAGCCGGUUGUGAAAGCCCCGGGCUCAACCUGGGAACGGCAUCCGGAACUGUCAGGCUAGAGUGCAGGAGAGGAAGGUAGAAUUCCCGGUGUAGCGGUGAAAUGCGUAGAGAUCGGGAGGAAUACCAGUGGCGAAGGCGGCCUUCUGGACUGACACUGACGCUGAGGUGCGAAAGCGUGGGUAGCAAACAGGAUUAGAUACCCUAGUAGUC
rnacentral:rRNA from 1 species